AUAAAAAUACAAAAAAAAAAAAAAGCAAUUCCAUACAUAUAGCUCCAGGGAAUAGCUGAUGAACAUCGCAAACUAACUGAACUUGUCUAUGAUAUAAAAUAAAGAAGAUAUAAUAAAUCACAUGCACAAAUAUUGAGAUUUCUUCUUCGCCUUCUCUCAAGUAGAACACUCUUCACAUAAAAAUAUUUACAUCAUGAAGGCCAAACAUGCAUAAGAAACUAGUCAACAAUAUAAAUGAAAGAUGUAAACACAAAGGUAGUGAGUGCUAGACUUACAGCUCCACCUUUCCAGGACACAAG
rnacentral:misc_RNA from 1 species